rnacentral:rRNA from 1 species
UCGAACGAGUUCUCGUUGAUGAUCGGUGCUUGCACCGAGAUUCAACAUAGAACGAGUGGCGGACGGGUGAGUAGCACGUGGGUAACCUGCCCUUAAGUGGGGGAUAACAUUUGGAAACAGAUGCUAAUACCGCAUAGAUCCAAGAACCGCAUGGUUCUUGGCUGAAAGAUGGCGUAAGCUAUCGCUUUUGGAUGGACCCGCGGCGUAUUAGCUAGUUGGUGAGGUAAUGGCUCACCAAGGCGAUGAUACGUAGCCGAACUGAGAGGUUGAUCGGCCACAUUGGGACUGAGACACGGCCCAAACUCCUACGGGAGGCAGCAGUAGGGAAUCUUCCACAAUGGACGCAAGUCUGAUGGAGCAACGCCGCGUGUGUGAAGAAGGCUUUCGGGUCGUAAAACUCUGUUGUUGGAGAAGAAUGGUCGGCAGAGUAACUGUUGUCGGCGUGACGGUAUCCAACCAGAAAGCCACGGCUAACUACGUGCCAGCAGCCGCGGUAAUACGUAGGUGGCAAGCGUUAUCCGGAUUUAUUGGGCGUAAAGCGAGCGCAGGCGGUUUUUUAAGUCUGAUGU